rnacentral:rRNA from 1 species
UGGGUGGCCACCUGCAGUCGAGCGGUAACACAGGGAGCUUGCUCCCGGGUGACGAGCGGCGGACGGGUGAGUAAUGUCUGGGAAACUGCCUGAUGGAGGGGGAUAACUACUGGAAACGGUAGCUAAUACCGCAUAACGUCGCAAGACCAAAGAGGGGGACCUUCGGGCCUCUUGCCAUCAGAUGUGCCCAGAUGGGAUUAGCUAUUAGGUGGGGUAACGGCUCACCUAGGCGACGAUCCCUAUCUGGGCUGAGAGGAUGACCAGCCACACUGGAACUGAGACACGGUCCAGACUCCUACGGGAGGCAGCAGUGGGGAAUAUUGCACAAUGGGCGCAAGCCUGAUGCAGCCAUGCCGCGUGUAUGAAGAAGGCCUUCGGGUUGUAAAGUACUUUCAGCGGGGAGGAAGGUGUUGAGGUUAAUAACCUCGUCAAUUGACGUUACCCGCAGAAGAAGCACCGGCUAACUCCGUGCCAGCAGCCGCGGUAAUACGGAGGGUGCAAGCGUUAAUCGGAAUUACUGGGCGUAAAGCGCACGCAGGCGGUCUGUCAAGUCGGAUGUGAAAUCCCCGGGCUCAACCUGGGAACUGCAUUCGAAACUGUGAGGCUAUAGUCUUGUAGAGGGGGGUAGAAUUCCAGGUGUAGCGGUGAAAUGCGUAGAGAUCUGGAGGAAUACCGGUGGCGAAGGCGGCCCCCUGUACAAAGACUGACGCUCACGUGCGAAAGCGUGGGGAGCAAACAGGAUUAUAUACCCUGUUAGUCCACGCCGCAAACGAUGUCGACUUGUAGGGUUGUGUCCUUGUGGACGUGGCUUUCUCGGCAGCUAAUCGCGCUAUGAUCGUACCCGCCCCUGGUGGGAGUACUGGCCCGCCGAAGGGUGUAAAAAAACAUC